GGGGGCAUAGCUCAGCUGGGAGAGCAGUAGACUGAAGCCUCUUCGCGUUCUAAAGGUCCUGCGUUCGAUCCGCGGUGCCCCCA